UUCCGCAUGAUUUAUGUUUUGUCAUAUGUAUCAUAACCUAUCAGAUAGGACAUGCAUGUGACAUUUUUUCCUUGCACGAAAUGACAUGAUUCCUUGAUAUGAUAGGACAAGCAUAUUGGUUUGUUUUUCCUUGUACGAAGCGAUAUGACUCCUUAAUACGACAUGAAGCAUAUUGGUUUUCCUUGUACGAAACGACAUGACGUACUCCUUGACCCGACAGGACAAUCAAAUGACAUUUUUUUUCUCCAAUCGCAACGUUCGUGAAACUGUUGUUCCGAUUGCGGGAGGGUAUUGAGGAUAACGUAGUUAUAUUAGAGGAUAGAAUAUCAUAUGUGAUACAAUUAUGUUAUAUCUUAACUAUAUGAUAUAAGAUAGAAGUCUAUAUGACUUAGGAAACCUAGCUACAAAGCUUAGGAUAUCUAGUUUGUAUUAUAAAUAGAGGUGUAUGUCCACGAAUAAUACAACACAAAACAACAAAAUAUUUUCCCCAUCAAUAAUAUUUAUCACAUUAUCAUUAUAACUGUGCAUUUUAUUCACCUUAUAAAAUAAUUAUCAGGUCCGAGAAUUUCAUGUCAGUUUCAAUAAAUUUAAUAAAAUCCAAUCAGAUCUAAUUUUUUUUUCUUGCAAUCAAGCCAAUUAAGUUCCAAUUAGAUCUAUUAAAUUCAGAUAAGUUCAAUUUAUAUAAAAACUAGAUUAGGUCCCGUGCACGCACGGAUAUUUAAAAAUUAUUGUUUGAUCAUCUUUUUUAUAAAAAAUAUAAUUGAAUUAUUUAUCCCUUAAAUCUAUUGCGUAAUUAAUAAUCUCGAAUGUACUCAUUUUAUCAUAUUUUAACUUACUACUACGUAUUAUAUAUUUUAUAUGUUUAAUUUGAUUAUCUGACUAAAAUAUUUGAUAUAUUUAAUAUGCUAAUUUGACCAAAAUAUCGAGUAAGAAUAUUUUCUAUUAUUGACAUGACAGUUUGACUAAAAUUUUACCAAAAUUUUAACAAUGACAUAUUCCAUAAUCCUAUAUUUUUUCCAUAUAUAAACAUUUAUACAAAAGGAGAGAAAAUAAAAAAAAAGAAUAAAAUAAAUAUGUCUUUUUAGGAAAGAGUUUUUGGCGGGAAAAUUUUUCACCAGGAAAUGACACGUGUCUCUUUUAGUAUAUAGUAAUAGAUAACGCACCUUUUUUAGUCAUUUUACUUAUCAACGUAACAAUCAAGUAAUAGUUAAUCAUUAAAAUAAACUUUAGCUCAUGGGACGAAACUGAUGUUAGACAACAAUAAAGUUGUAACAUUUGAUUAGAUUUAAAUAUACUUAUCAAAUUAAUGUGCGUACAUGAGUUUCCAAAACACAAUAAUUGGACAAGUGACAAAUAAUUGGACAAGUGACAAAUAAUUGUAUAAUUAUUCAAAAAAUCAAAGACUUGAUUCGGUUAAAAGGAUGACAUCAACAUUAGUAUUUUACUACCAUACUAGUAUAACACCCGUGCGAUACACGAUUUGAAAAUCAUAAUAUCAAAUUUGUAGAAAUAUGUAAUAUAUAGGGGAUUUUAUUACACUAAUACAAUAUUGUAUUUACUUAGGAGAGUGACUCUCAUGCGGAGAUUUUAAGUUUAUUAUCCUUAUCUUUCAAAAAAAUAUACAGUAUUGUAUUAAUAUACAUAGUAAUUUAAUCAUUACAAUAUGAUGGCAAAAUUAACCAAUAAAUUAAUCAAGCAAUGAGGUUUCGAAAAAUAUUUUUACCAUUUGCAUUUCUCCUUCUUUGUUUUCCCCCUAAAUGUGUUGUUAAGUACUCCUUCUGUUCCAUAAUAUUCUCCGAUUUUCCAUUAUAUGUGCGGUUUCUUAUGCAUUACUUUGACCAUACAUUAUGAAACGGGGAAAUAUAGAAGAAGAUUCAAUUAAAAAAAUAACGCCUUAUUUAAAUGUUUGACUUUCAGUAAAUGGUCAUACGUAGCUCCUAUAAUAAAAUGAUUCAAUUCCGGGUAUUAAAAACUAAAUACUAAAAAAAAAAAUUAAAAAACAUUUGGAAAAAUGCUUAUAGAUUAUAGAGUAGGUCAAUCGUGACCACCAUUGAGGCUCUGACCCAUCAUUUUUGUGCAUGUCCAUUUUAAUUUUUUAUAGGAAUUUAAUAUUUUAUUACAUUAAUAGAAAUGAGUAAAUUAUAUGAUGAAAGUGGUUUUAUUCAAUUCAUCAUCCGCUAGGGGAAUAAAAUAUAAAAGUAUUCUUGUCAUAACACUCAUCUUACCUGUACCGGUUGUACUCAUCUUUUUUUUCCACUCGAAUUACGUACCACCUUAGUAUCUUACCCAUAAACCUUAUAAAAAAAAUUACAAUUUUAUAAGAAAAUUUGAUAUUUUAUUACGUUUAUUAAAAAUGAGAAACUAUACAUUGGAAGUAAAUUUAUUAUUUUUAUCAAAGGAGGUGGGAACAUAUUUAAAUUAUUCCUGUCACACACACCCUCUUAUGUACUAACAUAUCCUAACACACAUCUUCAUUCUACUCAUUUUUAACCCACAUGAACAAACACCUUAAUUAGUAUGUAUAACUUACCAAUAAACUUGAUAAAAUGUCUGACCUUCUCGACUUGUACCUGAAUAUCCGAAAAGGAAGUCUUCUUACCCGUAAAUAAGCCCUAUUCGAAUUAACUCACUUUUGUCAUUCUUAAAUAACAGUCGGUUUACAUAAUCCAAGCACCAACUUUAACCUUAGUUAGGUCGUUCAUAAAAUCUAUGUUUUGAUCUCAAUGUAAGGCAAGUGCAUCCUUACCAUAGUACAUAAAAAAUGUAUCUUGAUUCCACCACCAACUUAUUAUAUAUGAAGCACUUUUUUUUUUAAAAAUCUAUGUUUUGAUUUCAAUGUAUCACGUUGAAAUUAAGGAUCUUUUUUUAUAAUAAUAUGUUCUCUUAAAAAAAAAUUACAAAAAACAAAGUUCAUAAUACAUUUUUUGUAUGUUAGGAAAAACACAUGACUAUUUUCAUGGUAAGAACAUUUUCUUCUGGUCCAAUAAAAAAAAAUUAAAUCACAUUUUCUAGCAUAUAAACAUUUUCCUGGUCACGGUUUUUUAUUUUCUUAACCACAAUUAUCUUUAUUAUGGACUUAUCUUCAACUUACAUGACCUUAAUUAUUGAAAUAAGUUUCAGGUCCUAUAAGUUCAGGUAAUAAGUUGAAGAGAAAUCCCCCUAUAUGAGCCAACUCUUAAAAUAAAGUCAAAAAAUUAAUUUUCCCUUUCAUACUUAUUGAAUAAUUAAUGCCAUUCGAUUUUCAAGUUUAAGAUAUUUAGUAAGCAGGAAAAAACUAAAGAAAAGCUUUUUGCUUAAUAGUAUAACUUUUAUAACUCUAAACUUUAGGAAUAAUAACUUUCAAUAAUCAAUUACAAUAUUUCAAAUUCAAUAAUUAUACUCUACAUUAGGUUAAACUACCUAGCUAGAAAGUUCAAUUAGUUAGUCUAUGAUUCUUGUUUUACAUAUUUUUUCUCUAAAUUCUUGCGUUUAAAAAGUUGUUCUACACUCACUCGUCUAUCCAUAACUAUGAUUUUUUUUAUUACUCCUAUCAGCGUGACAACUUGAUAUAAAGCAAGAAGUUUGAAUAUUCAAUGAAUGAGUAAUAUAUUGUCGUUUGAAAGUCGAGAAUAUGAUCAUGCACAUACUGCUUGAAUUUUUUGACCAAAGUAUAACGAUUAUCAAUUAUGAGUUGUGUUGUUAUAUUCUUGGCUUUAUUCUGUUCGACUUGUUUUGACUUAUUUCAGGCAAAAUAAGUCCAGUUAAGUUCAGUUAAGCUUAGAUAAGUUUAAAUUAGUUCAGUUCAGACAAAAUAAGUCGAAUAGAACGGAGCCUUGGUUGUAUAUUUUGUAAUAAAGUCAAAGAUAUUAUUUUGUUUAAUUAUUUAUAUUAAAAGAUUUGCAAAUCAUAGAGGGGCAUUUAUAUUAAGAAAUAACUUUAACAAAGUACUCCGUAAGUUUUAAUUUUCCUCUAAAUAUAUUGAUAUGAACGAUCAAAGUUAAUUCUCGAAAACUGACACUUAUUAAGGAAUACGUACAUAAUAUACUUUUGAGCAUUUUGACAUAUAUAUUUUAAAAUAUUAACUACACGUGUUAUAAAAAUUCAAAGAAUACUUAAUAUGUAUAAUAAAAUAUUCAAGGAUUUGGGGCAGGUUAGUAGGAGUGUGAGUAUACUAAAAUAUUCAACGAAUGGAGGAAGUAUCCUAUAAAUAAAAUAUACUAAAACAAUGACGAAGUUAUUAAGGAUCCCAAGGGGUAUGUGCCUCCGUCGACUUUAAAAAAAAAUAGUAUACCAAAUAGGCCUAGUCUAAUAUGUUAUUCAUAUUUUAUAAAUUAGUAUACCAAAAAGGCUCAGUGUAAUCUGUUAAUUAUUCCCCACGUUCCUAAAUAUUGGCUUAUUAUAUACAAUUUUAAUCUCACAUAAAAUGUAUUUGGUCCCACCACUUUUAUUUAUUCCCAAUUUCAUAGUAGAACCAAUUCAUCACAAAAAACAUUUAUGGUUCAUGCAUGGGGCAGAUUACGAAGGGAUCGAGUACUCCUAUAUAACUACGACUAUUAUGUACGAAAUAUGUGUUUGAUUCCUUAGAUUCUAAUAUAAUAGUGUAUAUUUAAUUUUAUUUAGCUAGAUACUAUAUAGACGUAUUUAAUUUAUAUAAGUUAGUAAAUUAUUAUUUAUUUCUUUGGUUGGAGAAGUUAGUAAAUUAUAAAUACAAACCUAUGACCUAAAUGGGUAUUUGAUACUUUCCUUAUUUAUUUGGUUGGAGAAGUAUUUGACUAAUAAUUAAUUUUUUUUUUUAAAUUAAAAGAAAGGUUAAUCAAUGAGUAACAUUUGUCAUCACCACAUUAAUUUUAUCUCUUUUAGUAUAUUAUAUGGAUAUAUAGAUUCAAAAAUAUAAUUCUAAAGAAGUAAUAUCAUUAACAUACGCCGCAAAUGAUGACAAAAUUCAAGAUUAAUUAUAGUUGGACUUCAACUUUCGAUUUUUGAGAGGUUCAUUUAUUUUUUCAUGAUGCUAUACGAAAUUAGAUCAUUUUGUUCCCUAAAAAACAAAAAAACAGAAAAAGAUUGUUUGACAUGAGCUCAUUUUGAGGUUGUUUCAAUAUACUACAUCACUAAAAUGAAUUGAACAAAACAAAUAAACUUUAGAAUUAUAUUAUUUUUUGGUUGAAAACGUUAGGAUUAUCAGUGACAUCAUAUAUUAAUAUGUAGAUGUAAGAUUUAUUAUGGCAUAUAGAAAAGAAUAGAAAAGAAAAUUCACUUUUCGUUUCAUUGACUAAAGUAACAUACCUUAAAAAAAAGUGCGUUAAGUUAAAGAAGGAAAUUAAGGGAUAUUUUUAGUUAACAAAAACACCUAAUGCAUUUAAUUGUUAAUUAGUUUUAUGUCUCAUAAAUUGAUCGAGAGAGUUCAGAGUUGCUAGGUAGGGGAAGAAGUAAAUUGUAAUAAUGAAAAUAAUUUAUAUUUUUUCAUAAUAGUUUUAGGAUGUUUAUUAUCCAAGGAAUCUUUAAGAUUUAUAAUGACAAUCUAUAAUAUUUUAUUUGUACAUAUUUUUCCUUAAAUAAAACAAAGUAAUGUUAAUCAAUAAUUUUAAUUAUUUUUUAAAUAAAAGAGAGGCAAAUCAAUGAGUGACAUUUGUCAUCACCACAUUGAUUUCCUCUCUUUUAGUAUAUUAUAUAGAUUAGAUUCUUAUCUAUACAGUGUUAUUGGACUAAUACACACUUAAUUAAUUGGUCAAAAUAAUACUCUCUCCUUUCCUAAACAAUUGAGGCUUUAACUAACUUUUUUUCAUUACUAAAAAAAAUUAUUGCUUUUAGAAUAUCAAUAUAACUUCGCAUGAAUAAUUUAAAUAGUUGUACAAAAAUACUGGUCAUUAUUAUAGAAUUGUGUGAGAAUCAUAACAAUAUGCAUUUGAAAAACAUAAGUUAGAGUAUUUACGAGAGAAAUUCAGGAGAAACAUUUUUAUCAAGAGAACUUCAACGGUUAAUUAAUGGUUUAAUCAAGUUAUACGGAGUGAGACAAAUAAAGCACCGCAUUUCCCCCCUAAAUUACUGUUCAAAUAAUGAAACGCUAGGCCUAAAAGUAUCGGGAGGCAAAAUGGAGACCAUGGGUGAAGAUCACGAAAGCUCAAUUUAUGGUGUUUUUGGAAAGAAUAAUAAAUGGAUGUUUAAAUCACACUUUAUUUUUUGGGACCAAAAACUGGCACUUCACCUUAUCGGAUGGAUGAAAACUUUGGAAAUACAGAGAUAAAGUAGUGCUUAGAAAAAGAAGGCUAUAUAUUUUUUUUCUGUCCUCAAGUUUCACAAAUUGAUACUCACCCAUAAGCCAUAAUUAUGACAUCAUAGUUUUAACUAAUUCCACUUGGCUAAAUGUUUGUGGCCCAACCAAUUAUUUUGCUUUUUUUUUCUCCACAUAAUUUUUUGUAAUACCACUUGUAAUUUGUUUUAUCUCUAUUAUAUAAAAGAACAGUUAAAAACGUUUCGGUAAUAACACAUUUCGUGUCCCCUUAGAAAAGACUAAAACACCCUCUACCUUUUACUCUCAAACCCUUCGUCGUUCACUCUCUCCUCCCUUCACUACUUCCUCCGCCACUCUUUAACCAUUAAAGCGCAAACUCUCUCACUCUCUCUCAACUCCAUCGCCCUUUAUCCUCUCCCUUUCUCUCUCUCCUCUCUUCUGAUUCAAAGAUUACAAAAUUAGUAAAGUGAUUGAGGUGAUUCAAAUAUUAUAAAUUUGUCUGAUCGUGUUCUUUCAUAUUAUUCAAUCAAUUAUACUGAUUUUGUUCGUUUAAUUGGUUUGAUUUUGAUUUAUUCGACUAAAUUGACUGAUGAAGCGGUUUUGAAGAUGGCAGAGGAUCUUCGUCCUCUUUCUUCUCUCACUUCCUGUAUUUUCUCCUCUUGUUUUAGUCCCCGUUAGACUCAAAACUCUUAGAACAUGUUUAUCAAACACCUUGGUUUUGGUCUUCAACCUAAUAAAAUACAAUACUUUUUCAUUUCUCUCUCCCCAACACCAAACUCAACACCAAUAAUAUUUACGGUUUUUUCAUGAAAUACCCUUGAGGUUUAACGAAAUGCAUCAAAUACACCAGCGUGUUUCAAAUUACAUAGUAUACCCCUAUUUAAACUUAUUGUGCACCAAAUACUCUUCUUACUAACGGAAGUCUAACGCCGUUAGUCAUUAGUGCUAAUUUACCUAUUUAUCAUAAUUAUUAACAAUUAACCUCCCAACAAACCUGAUUAAUACAUAACAAACCUAAAGAUUUAGCAACCAAAAAAAAAACUCAUUCAAAAUUCAAUCAAACUUCUCGAAAAUCUGGGUUCAAAAUUUGCCCAAUUUAAAUCAAACUUGUGAUAAAAUUAAUCGAGCAAUAAUGCUUCUACUUCAAUCAAUUAUCUCAUCAAUUAGCUCCACAAUUCGUGCUAAAAUCCCCAAUUUGAUUUGCCAAACCCUAAAUUCAGAAUUGAUUUCUUUAUGUUUUGAUCCGAUUAAUGUAACUUCUGGGUUCGAAAAUCAGGGAAGGGGAGAGGAAAAGAGGAAAAUUCUAGGUUCGAAAAUAUGAAUUUAAUCGAGAGCUUCGUUGCUUCUUCAAUGGAGUUGGGUUUCUGAAAAGCAUCUUCAUCGUGAGAGCUACGUUGCUUCUUCAAUGGAGUGGGGGUUGCAUGAAUUUAAUCGAAAAAUUUGGGGGUUUGAGUUGCGAAUUUAAGAGGAGAGAGAAGAGGAUGAGAGGAGAGCAAGGAUGGGGGAAUGGAGAGGAUAGAGUAACUCUCGUUAUUGGGGUAGUCGAUGGUGGUUUUGAUGGUGGAUGUGGGACUUCAUUCGGACUUGGGAGAGAGAGGAGUUGUAGUGGUGGAGGCGGUGUGCGCUUUGAGGGUGGAGGCCGGCGGUGCGGGAAUUUGAUGAUGGAGGUGGUGCUGUGCACUUUGACGGUGGAGCCGGUGCGGAUUUUUGUGAUGGCGGUGGUGCAACUUCAAUGGUUGUGUGUCUGUGGGCUUGGUGGUGGAUAUAUCUAUCAGAGUGGUUGUGCGGCCGCCUCUCCUGGGAAAUGAGAGAGGAUCAGAGGAUAGAGCUAUCAACUUCAAUGUCAUUCUAAUUUCCAUAAAUAAUCAUGUUCGAUUAGGUUUAAUUAGUUUAAUUAGGGGGGUUAAGUAAGUUAAUUAGCACUAAUGACUAACGUCGUUAGACUUCCGUUAGUAAGAAGGGUAUUUGGUGCACAAUAAGUUUAAAUAGGGGUAUAAUAUGUAAUUUGAAACACGCGGGUGUAUUUGGUACGGUGCAUUUCGUUAAACCUCAGAGGCAUUUCAUGAAAAACCCGUAAUAUUUAACAACAUUUAUCAAACACCAAAAAUAUCAUCUCUCUCAUACAUAAUCUAUACCCCCAUCUACAAUUAUAUCUCAUGACAUUGUUAUGGAUAAUAUAUAAUCAAAUUAUUAGUGGCAUAAUUAAUCGUUAUUAAUUAAGUAGUGACAUAUUAAUUGUUUAUUAAUUUAAUUGUAUAAUAGCCUAAUAAAUAUUUAAUAAAAAGAUAUUUAAAAAUUAACUAAGUAAAACUUCACUUGUUAAGUAUAUAAUUUAAAUCAAUAAAAAACUUAACUUGUUACCUAAAAGCUCGAUCAUUACAACCUUUAAAUAAGUGAUAUUGCAUACUACUAACAUAUAACUAAUCAAUCACUAGUUUGUCUACAUUUUUGCCGUACAUUUUCAAUAAGGUCUCCCUUGAGAAAUUUGUGAUCUAAAGUUAAACAAGAGAGGAGAAAAUUAAGAUAAUUUUUUGUGAUCUAAGGUGGAUCAAUAUUGGUGUCUAUUUACAGAGCAUAAAAAAAUAAGACAUUUAUAAUUUUUUUUUUUUGAGUUGUAAUAUUUAUUUUAUGGGCAUUGUAAAUUUGCAAUGGGUAUGUAUUUUUAAUAAAACAAAUAUAUGUCAUAAAUCACAUUGCAAUUAUUAAAAAAAAGGAUAACCAAUAAUUUUGGUCCCUAUAUGACACAUGUCAAUCUCUCCAAGUAAGAUUUUUGUUUUCCAUUUGGUGUUCAUGAACACCAAUUUUUUUUGGUUUCAUUCUCUCUCUAACUUUCUCACUCAUCUUUCUACCUCUUUUAUUAUAUUUUUAUUCACUUCUCUCUCCUACACACCAAACCAAGGUGUUUGAUAACUAUGGUCUUAAUUCUGAAGGGAAAAACAAAUUCGUCAAAGAUUUACCAAGAAUUAUGCAGCAAUAUAAGUCAGUUGUAAUACUACUAAGUUCACUUUAACAGGAAGCAAGAGAGGUGUGAAAUAGCCUUGACCAAAAGUUUAUAGAAAUCACAAUUACUUUGUAGUUAAUUUAGCCCAGAUCAGAAGCAAGAGAGGAUUUGAUCGACGGUGCAGGGUUCGAGGAAGAGUGACGGCAAGGUGAAGUCUGGAUUCGAAAGAAGGGUAACACUUCAGAACGAUUUGAAAGCUGGGGCGGAGCUGCUUGAUAUUAUUCUUUCAAAGAUGUUGUUCAACUGAUAAUCGUGAAUAACUGCAACACCACCAUAUGGGUAGGAAUACUAGCAACCAACGGGAAAAAUUGAGCUCUUACUGUAGGAGGGGGCUUCUACCUUCACUCCGACAGACGACAAUUCCUCUAUCUCUCAAAAUUGCCAGGCAACUAGAGACCCCCUGCUACGGAUCGAGUCAGUAUUGCUGGGGGAAAUCUGUAAUUAAGACCAACAGAAAAUGUUUAUUUGUGAUUGGAGUUGUGUAUUUACAUGCAUUGCCUAAAAAAUAGUAAUAGCUCAAUAUAUUUAGUUUCUUUAAUUUGGUACUACAAUUUAGAUUUUUCGUCAUAUAAGAGCAUGUGCAUUACAUUGUUUCACUAUUUAGAUGCUUUUAACUAAAGA